CUCCUACGGGAGGCAGCAGUGGGGAAUAUUGCACAAUGGGGGAAACCCUGAUGCAGCAACGCCGCGUGAGUGAUGAAGGCCUUCGGGUCGUAAAGCUCUUUGAUCAGGGACGAUAAUGACGGUACCUGAAAAACAAGCCACGGCUAACUACGUGCCAGCAGCCGCGGUAAUACGUAGGUGGCGAGCGUUGUCCGGAUUUACUGGGCGUAAAGAAUGCGUAGGUGGAUAUUUAAGUGGGAUGUGAAAUCCCCGGGCUCAACCCGGGAACUGCAUACCAAACUGGAUAUCUGGAGUGCAGGAGAGGAAAGCGGAAUUCCUAGUGUAGCGGUGAAAUGCGUAGAUAUUAGGAGGAACACCAGUGGCGAAGGCGGCUUUCUGGACUGUAACUGACACUGAGGCAUGAAAGCGUGGGGAGCAAACAGGAUUAGAUACCCUGGUAGUCCACGCCGUAAACUAUGGGUACUGGGUGUAGGGGGUAUCGACUCCCCCUGUGCCGUCGUUAACACAAUAAGUACCCCGCCUGGGGAGUACGGUCGCAAGACUAAAACUCAAAGGAAUUGACGGGGGCCCGCACAAGCAGCGGAGCAUGUGGUUUAAUUCGAAGCAACGCGAAGAACCUUACCUAGACUUGACAUCUCCUGAAUUACCCGUAACUGGGGAAGCUCUUCGGAGCAGGAAGACAGGUGGUGCAUGGUUGUCGUCAGCUCGUGUCGUGAGAUGUUGGGUUAAGUCCCGCAACGAGCGCAACCCUUAUCGUUAGUUGCUACCAUUAGGUUGAGCACUCUAGCGAGACUGCCCGGGUUAACCGGGAGGAAGGUGGGGAUGACGUCAAAUCAUCAUGCCCCUUAUGUCUAGGGCUACACACGUGCUACAAUGGUGAGGACAAAGAGACGCAAGACCGCGAGGUGGAGCAAAUCUCACAAACCUCAUCCCAGUUCGGAUUGCAGGCUGAAACUCGCCUGCAUGAAGCCGGAGUUGCUAGUAAUCGCGAAUCAGCAUGUCGCGGUGAAUACGUUCCCGGGCCUUGUACACACCGCCCGUCACACCAUGAGAGUUGGCAAUACCCGAAGUCCGUGGGGUAACCUGAAAAGGGGCCAGCGGCCGAAGGUAGGGUCAGCGAUUGGGGUGAAGUCGUAACAAGGUA
rnacentral:rRNA from 1 species